AUUGGAAGCAACAUUGCUCAAACCCCGACCAUUGCACCAAUUGGAAGCAGCAUUGCUCUAACCCCGGAGGCUGCAUCCCCGGCCAUUACACCAAGUAGCACACAAGCUUGAGAGUAAUUGUUAAGCAUGGAUGUUUCUUUGGCUAUUAACAAAGAAAAACCUAAGCCAAACAACUAUUUUGUAGGCAAAUUCAUUAUUUCUAUAUUGUUUU